UGGGCUAUAGCCAAGCGGUAAGGCAACGGGCUUUGACUCCGUCAUUUCCCUGGUUCGAAUCCAGGUAGCCCAACCA
rnacentral:tRNA from 1 species